rnacentral:rRNA from 1 species
GCUCAGGAUGAACGCUAGCUACAGGCUUAACACAUGCAAGUCGAGGGGCAGCAUGGUCUUAGCUUGCUAAGGCCGAUGGCGACCGGCGCACGGGUGAGUAACACGUAUCCAACCUGCCGUCUACUCUUGGACAGCCUUCUGAAAGGAAGAUUAAUACAAGAUGGCAUCAUGAGUCCGCAUGUUCACAUGAUUAAAGGUAUUCCGGUAGACGAUGGGGAUGCGUUCCAUUAGAUAGUAGGCGGGGUAACGGCCCACCUAGUCUUCGAUGGAUAGGGGUUCUGAGAGGAAGGUCCCCCACAUUGGAACUGAGACACGGUCCAAACUCCUACGGGAGGCAGCAGUGAGGAAUAUUGGUCAAUGGGCGAGAGCCUGAACCAGCCAAGUAGCGUGAAGGAUGACUGCCCUAUGGGUUGUAAACUUCUUUUAUAAAGGAAUAAAGUCGGGUAUGCAUACCCGUUUGCAUGUACUUUAUGAAUAAGGAUCGGCUAACUCCGUGCCAGCAGCCGCGGUAAUACGGAGGAUCCGAGCGUUAUCCGGAUUUAUUGGGUUUAAAGGGAGCGUAGAUGGAUGUUUAAGUCAGUUGUGAAAGUUUGCGGCUCAACCGUAAAAUUGCAGUUGAUACUGGAUAUCUUGAGUGCAGUUGAGGCAGGCGGAAUUCGUGGUGUAGCGGUGAAAUGCUUAGAUAUCACGAAGAACUCCGAUUGCGAAGGCAGCCUGCUAAGCUGCAACUGACAUUGAGGCUCGGAAGUGUGGGUAUCAAACAGGAUUAGAUACCCUGGUAGUCCACACGGUAAACGAUGAAUACUCGCUGUUUGCGAUAUACAGCAAGCGGCCAAGCGAAAGCGUUAAGUAUUCCACCUGGGGAGUACGCCGGCAACGGUGAAACUCAAAGGAAUUGACGGGGGCCCGCACAAGCGGAGGAACAUGUGGUUUAAUUCGAUGAUACGCGAGGAACCUUACCCGGGCUUAAAUUGCAGAUGAAUUACGGUGAAAGCCGUAAGCCGCAAGGCAUCUGUGAAGGUGCUGCAUGGUUGUCGUCAGCUCGUGCCGUGAGGUGUCGGCUUAAGUGCCAUAACGAGCGCAACCCUUGUUGUCAGUUACUAACAGGUUCCGCUGAGGACUCUGACAAGACUGCCAUCGUAAGAUGUGAGGAAGGUGGGGAUGACGUCAAAUCAGCACGGCCCUUACGUCCGGGGCUACACACGUGUUACAAUGGGGGGUACAGAGGGCCGCUACCACGCGAGUGGAUGCCAAUCCCAAAAACCUCUCUCAGUUCGGACUGGAGUCUGCAACCCGACUCCACGAAGCUGGAUUCGCUAGUAAUCGCGCAUCAGCCACGGCGCGGUGAAUACGUUCCCGGGCCUUGUACACACCGCCCGUCAAGCCAUGGGAGCCGGGGGUACCUGAAGUGCGUAACCGCGAGGAGCGCCCUAGGGUAAAACU